GAAACAUGUUUGGGAUGUGUACUGCAUGUACAGCGUGCCCAAGGCUGCCCCGUGCACCCUGCAAGUGAGGUGGUGUUCGCCCUCCUUUCUCCCAGAGAAAGACACUGAGACACAGAGAGGCGGUCAGAGUUGACUUCCUGGAAGAGGUGGGAUUUGAAGGAGGCCUUGAAGAAUGGGCGGAGUUUUGAUAGUCACAGCACCUGGAAAGGUGUGUAGAAUUUAGAGUUUCAAAUCUGUGGUUAUCACCAGGGCCCUUCCAGAAAAGGUUCCUGUGGAAAAGGAGAGAAAAUGGCAAGGCUGGUGGUGCCUUUUCAGGUCUCCUCCAGCCUUGCAGGAUGCUCUGGGAACACUGGAGCCUUGAGGACUGUGCCCCGUCAAGGAUGAGUGAUCCCAGAGAAGAGAAGCGACUUGCCCAAGGCCUGCCCCGAAACCUGGAACCCAGGUCCCUAAUUCCCAGCUUGGUGUGGGCUCUUGUUACUGGCGGGGGUUGACGACGGGCAGCAGCCCUGAACAUCGGUCCUUUGUUCCUGUAAAGUGGGUACAGGGGUACUGCCUUCCUCACUCCCAGGCUGGCGAACACCAAGAGAAAGUCCUGCGAAAUUGUCAUGACCAAAGUCAGAAAGAGCUGUGUUGGAGAGGAGGGCUGGCAUUUUCUUCAGUUACUCAUAUUAACAACUGCCCUUGCCAGAGGAGGGAAACCAGAUUAACCAACAGGCAGGGUUCCGGCAGCAGACAAAUCAAACCCAAGCAAGCGCCUUGGGGAAGAGCAUCGAGAAAGCAGUUUCAAGACUUCCCUGGUGGUCCAGGGCUUAAGACUCCAAGCUCCUGAUGCGGGGGGCCAGAGUUCGAUCCCUGGUCAGGGAACUAGAUCCUGCCUGCCACAGCUGCACAUGCUGCAGGCACAGCCAAAUAAGUUUUUUUUUUUUUUUUUAAAGCCCUCAUUGUAAAAAAAAAAUGAUAUUUUUUUUAAAGAGAGAAAGCAGUUUCACACCCUCUUUUUGCUGAAAUCCAGCAUCUUUCUCAAAGCUUUUCCUCCGAGAGCCCUAAACCCACAGUUCCAUUUCCCUUUUGUGGGAUGGUGUGGGGAGUUGGUGGUGCAGGGGAAAGACAGAGAGUUAUUAAAAGAAGCCCGAGGACUUGGGGAUCCCAAGGCUGAUUCCCAUCCCAUGGUAAUGCUGACCGGAUGGGUGUGGACAUGUCAGCCUUCAGCUGUGUGGGGCGGUGGCCCAUCAGGGCAGAAGGUCUUCAAGUGUAAUAUAAUACAUCCCAGGUCACGUGUGCACACAGUCCAGGUCCAGUUCUGGCAGUUCUGCUCUUUAGGGAAUUUCAGAGUUAGGUUCCUGCCAGCCUCUGGCCACAGCAUUUGUCCCUGACCAAUAGAAAACUCUUUUUAUGUGUGUUUCUUACUUAAUAUAUGUUACUGAUUCACUGGGCUUCCCUGGUGGCUAAGUGGAAAAGAAUCCGCCUACCAGCCAAUUCAGGAGAUGCAGGGAUUGAAGCUGAGUUUCCUGCUUUGGCGGGUGGAUUCCAUACCACUAGUGCCACCUGGACUCCUCGGCGACGCUCAGUAAUUCCUGGCGAGUAAAGGCUGGGACCGAAGCUUCUUGUGUUUGCUCCAUCCUGGGUGCCAGAAGAAGGAGAAAUAUCUGGGUGUAGGUUUCCCCCCUCGCCCUCCUGUACCCCUUCCAGAAGGGUGCCCAUUUCCCCUUUCCACUGCCUGCGAACAGGAGAUCCUGUGUUCCCGCACAUCAGAAGAUUCGGACAACCUCACAUCUAACAGAACUGGUCUUUGCUGGGAGGAGCUGAGGGCAGCCUGUCACCCAAAGGAAUGAUGCUCCUAGGGAGGCAUUUUGGGCCAGCAUGGGGCUUCCUGGGGCCCCACUCCUCCAGUCCUGGCUUUCUUACUGCUGGGCACCUUUACAAAAACAUUCUGUUGCUUGCGCCCCUUGAAGAGUUGGUACGCAGGUCAUAGGAGUUAUUGCUGUUUCUUCUCUCCGAGGCUCUUUCUUUCCCUUUUAGGAGAUGGUUCCCCUUGAAGGAUGGCAUUUUCUCUUUAGCAGCCGGGCACUACCGCCCAGGUCUCCGUAGGGCCUGGCUGACUCAUCUGCUGUGCUGUGAGGCAGGGCAAGAGCUAUCUCCCGCUGCAGCCCUGCCGGACCGAGUCAGGCCCUGUGGCCUCCUGGCCUCACCUAGCUGUGGUCCACGGAGGAGUCAGGCCCCACCGAGAGCCCACCAGGCGCCAGUGCCCUGCGUGAAGCAGGUGGAAGAUGGGCUGUCCACCUGCUGUCUCUUUACAGCCCCUUGAAAACCCACCUUGAAGGGCCAGGGGCAGACGUUGGGGUGGCCAUUCCCAGUUCUGACAGGGACCAACGUCCAUCCACACAGGGCUGCCCGGAGGCCGGUCAAGGCCUGUUUAUUGCCCAUGGGUCCAUUUCUUCCCUCCGUCCUGCCUGAGGGCCCAAUAAUUGUUUUCCUGGGCACUUCAUGAGAGUUGACUUUCCACUUGCACGUUUGUUUUUUUUUUCCCCCAUAAGAGGGAGGAAAACCAAACGUUUUCUGCAAUUAGAAUUUUUCCCUCUCGGGUAAUCACAAUGGGUAAAAAAAAAAAAAAAAAAAAAAAAGACAUUUAAGUCCAUUGAAAACCACACAGAAGCAGCGCUCUCGGAGCCAGGGGACUGCUCAGUCGGUACGGAUGGCCAGCCAGGGAGGGCGUUUGGCGGGCGGGCUCUGGCGUAAGGAAGCCGCUAUUUCACAUUUAUUUGGGGCUGGCUUCCUGCAGCAUAUUUCAAUUAGUUUGUCAGUGUUGUGCAUCUGACAGGCCACGCGUUCAUUGUGGUUGAGCCAUCUGGGAGGUGGGAGGCCUGCAGCCUUCCCCGUGGCAGUCAGUAACUACCAGUUUGAAGGAAAUUUGUUUGAUGUGUUUAAGAACCCAACACUAAAACACCAUUAAUAACGAAAGCUUCCAGAGUUCUGAAAGCACUCCCCCUUGUUGAGCCGUCAGAUGGACAUGCAUAACUUAAGACCUCAUAUUUUCCCCCCACGCCUGUGACAUUUCCCAGCACAGCCAAGCAAAGUUCUGAAGUGGCCGAUUUAAUUGAUCCAGAGCACGAUUUGUAUUAACCCAGUAUGCAAAGGAGCUCAUUAAUGUUUAUACUUGGGGGCCAUGCAGCCUGAGCUUUGGCCACCAGGAGUAGCCAGGGGAGGCAGGGAAUAUAUCCCUCCAUCAGUAUUCAGCUGAGCUCCAGAGCCACUGGUUUUAUUUCGGGUCUUAGCCUCGAUGACUCACCGAGCGUCGUGAGCUCGUGGUGAUGAGAGCUGACCAGCACAGCCUGCCCUUCACUCCUUAGGUACCAAGGUUUAGAGCGCUGAUCACACCCAUUGCUGUCUCUUUUUACCUUGUUAUUUUUCCUGGCUGACUGUCCCCUUUCCUGAGGAAUGUGCUGUCUGACUUUGCAGCAGCGGGGGAAAAGAGGAAUUCAGCAUCUUAAGAGAAUAGGAGAGUGGAAGGAGUGUUGGAAAAAAAAAAAAAAUCCAUGGGUUUGAUCUUUCAUUCGACUUUCCAUUUGCCUGAAACCUUACCACCCCAGACUGGAUGGGGAGCAGGCUUGAGACUCAAGACACGGUUGUGAACUGGAGGGAGGCGGGCUUGUGAAAUCUGGGAUGUUUGGUUCACUUGAUUUGUCUUGGUGGCCUGAGAGCUACAGGACUGGUGUUUGGAGGGUUUAGGCUGAUAAAGGCACCCAUCACAUAACCAGACAGGUUGAUGCUUCAUAAUGGACUUUUCUGGAUCCUAAGAUUCCUGCCCAAGGAGAAGGCAACUCUUCCCUCUCCAGACUAUGAGGAUCCCCUGGUCAAGCCUAGCUGCUCUGCAAGCUCAGAGGGCUUAUUUGACUUUGAGUCCCCCGUGCCCAGUAUAGUGGCCGGGAGGUAACUCAGGGCCAACUGAUGACCAUUUGGGGAGAGGCAGUGGCUAGAGAUCCAGAGGGAAAACGUCCUUUCUCCUUCAUCCAUGUUUUGGGUAGCACUCUCCAAGGCCCAGAGAGCUUCUGCCUAUUGUCUUUCACUUGACACCCAGAAGUGCUGCUAUGCCCAUUUUACAGGUGGGGAAACUGAGGCUGGAAGCAGUCUUAAUUUGGCGUCCAGUGCUUGCAGCUGUCAUGUUUCACACACAGUACAGCUCAGGGAGGGCAUGAUUUGGGCCAACCAUAGAGCAAGUUAACGGCUGGCCAGGAUUCUUGUCCUACUGGGGUCUCGAUUCUUCAAGUUCAUUCUGUUGCAUUCCCUACAUGACCCAUGCCAUGUUGUUAUGUCAUUGUUUAUAAAUCCAUCAGGGGAGUUGCCUGAUGGUCCAGUGGUUAGGACUCAUGGCUUUCCCUGCUGAGGGCUGGGCUUCAAUCCCUGGUUGGGGAGCUAAGACCCUGGAAAACCUGCCAUGAGGCCAAAUACAACAACAAAAAUUCCAUGAGUAUUUCCUGAUGCAGUUCAGUCUGAACAGUGCCCAGAAGUUUUCGGUUUGGGUUUGUGUGAGUUUUUUGUUUCAUUUUUUACCUAGAGAAGAAAACAGAAUUUCUCUUUUCUUGUUCUGUAGCUUUUGCUCUUCAAAGAGGCCCAAAGGCACCAUGGACGUAGAGCAGGAUUUAUCAUAGAUUCCUGAGAUAGGGCGGCGUGCUCUGGGAUCACGGCGUGGGCAUGACUUGGGGGCCCCCUGGGCUCCCCGUUGUCGAGUCUUGUAGCCACACACCCAGGAGCCUGUGGUCAGAGGCCCUGCGGGUUGUGUGUCCUUGAGAUCCUGGAAAGUGGUGCCUUUCCCUUUCCUGAAGUGAGAGCAGCUUUCAGACUGGCUGUAUUAGGAUGCCCGUGUGUGUGUGUG
ensembl:lncRNA